CAUUAAAGAAUGUUAGCCAGGUGCAGUGGUGCACGCCUUUAAUCCCAGCACUUUGGGAGGUGGAGGUGGGUGGAUCGCCUGAGGUCAGGAGUUUGAGACCAACCUAGCCAACAUUGUGAAACCCUGUCUCUACGAAAACUACAAAAAUUAGCCAGGUGUGGUGGCACGCAUGCCUGUAAUCCCAGCUACUUGGGAGGCUGAGGCAGGAGAAUCGCUUGAACCCGGGAGGCAGAGGUUGUAGUGAGCCGAGAUCACACCACUGCACUCCAGCCUGGGCGAUAGAGUGAGACUCCGUCUCAAAAAAAAAAAAAAGAAUGUCAACUGCUCCUGGCUCUGCAGAGGUAUGGCCCAGGUGACAGGGCUAUUGAGAGGCCAAAGGGACCCUGAUCAGCCAGUGGUGUCUUUGGAAUAGGUGCUGCAAGCUCUGGGAGGUGCUACUGCGCACCAGAAGGUUGGUGAGUUGGCCAAGGGUGUGGAGCUGGCUCCAGAGGGGAAGGAACAAAGGGAAGGGACCCUCUGGGAGCUGGAGAGACUUGGGAGCCUGGAGGCAGGAAUUCCCUGCCAUUGCCUGAGGCCUGGUUUGGAAAGUACAAUGCAGUUUUGGCAUGGUGGUUGCUGGCCUGGAAUGUGGUGGGGUGAAGAGCGUGGUGGAAGGACACACUGAGUUCCUGACCAUCCAGCAACAAAGGAGCAAAAAGACCUUGGAAUCCAUGAGAAGAAUUUCUUCUCAUGGAAGGAUCCCCGCAGUUGGGAAGCAGAGGUGCUCACAGAGCUUCCUCCAUAAAUCUGAUGAAUGAGGAAUUCUAGCAG
rnacentral:lncRNA from 10 species